rnacentral:rRNA from 1 species
GACCCGCUGAACUUAAGCAUAUCAAUAAGCGGAGGAAAAGAACCAACAGGGAUUGCCCUAGUAACGGCGAGUGAAGCGGCAACAGCUCAAAUUUGAAAUCUGGCGCAAGCCCGAGUUGUAAUUUGUAGAGGAUGCUUCUGGGUAGCGACCGAUCUAAGUUCCUUGGAACAGGACGUCAUAGAGGGUGAGAAUCCCGUAUGUGAUCGGCCCGCACCCUUUACGUAGCUCCUUCGACGAGUCGAGUUGUUUGGGAAUGCAGCUCUAAAUGGGAGGUAAAUUUCUUCUAAAGCUAAAUACCGGCCAGAGACCGAUAGCGCACAAGUAGAGUGAUCGAAAGAUGAAAAGUACUUUGGAAAGAGAGUUAAAAAGCACGUGAAAUUGUUGAAAGGGAAGCGCCUGCAACCAGACUUCGUGGCAGUGUUCCGCCGGUCUUCUGACCGGUUUAUUCUCUGUCGCGAGGCCAUCAUCGUCUGGGCCCGCCGGAUAAGACCUGAGGAAUGUGGCUCUCCUUCGGGGGAGUGUUAUAGCCUCUGGUGAUGCGGCGCGGCUCGGGCGAGGUCCGCGCUUCGGCAAGGAUGAUGGCGUAAUGGUUGUCGGCGGCCCGUCUUGAAACACGGACCAAGGAGUCUAACAUCUAUGCGAGUGUUCGGGUGUCAAACCCCUACGCGUAAUGAAAGUGAACGGAGGUGGGAACCGCAAGGUGCACCAUCGACCGAUCCUGAUGUCCUCGGAUGGAUUUGAGUAAGAGCAUAGCUGUUGGGACCCGAAAGAUGGUGAACUAUGCCUGAAUAGGGUGAAGCCAGAGGAAACUCUGGUGGAGGCUCGCAGCGGUUCUGACGUGCAAAUCGAUCGUCAAAUUUGGGUAUAGGGGCGAAAGACUAAUCGAACCAUCUAGUAGCUGGUUCCUGCCGAAGUUUCCCCUCAGGAAAAAAAAAAACCGCUCCAAGAUGGUUCAAUAAAUCCUUUCGCCCUAUCCCAAAUCUGACAAUGAAUUUCACGUCGAAACCCCUUCGGACCCCCCCAAAAUUUCCCUGGGUUCCCCCUUUCGGCCAGAUUUCCACUUUUGGGGCCCACCAUGGCCCUUCAAAACCCCCCAGAAACUCCGGAGGGUUUUAAAGGAGGCCCCGGGCCCCCCCCUUUUUUUUCCCCAGAGGGGUUUGUGUCCCCCCCCAA